rnacentral:rRNA from 1 species
UACGGAAGGGUGCAAGCGUUGCUCGGAAUUAUUGGGGCGUAAAGGGUAGGUAGGUGGUCUCGUUUGUCCGGGGUGAAAGCCUUGAGCUUAACUCAAGAAGUGCCUCGGAAACGGCGAGACUGGAGUAUUGGAGAGGGUCGUGGAAUUGCCCGGUGUAGCGGAUGAAAUGCGUAGAGAUCGGGAGGAACACCAGAGGCGAAGGCGGCGACCUGGACAAUUACUGACACUCAACUACGAAAGCGUGGGGAGCAAACAGGG